GUACAUCCAGAGAAUUUAGCAGAGAUGCUUUAGUGCCUUCGGGAACUCUGAGACAGGUGCUGCAUGGCUGUCGUCAGCUCGUGUUGUGAAAUGUUGGGUUAAGUCCCGCAACGAGCGCAACCCUUUAUCCUUUGUUGCCAGCACGUAAUGGUGGGAACUCAAAGGAGACUGCCGGUGAUAAACCGGAGGAAGGUGGGGAUGACGUCAAGUCAUCAUGGCCCUUACGAGUAGGGCUACACACGUGCUACAAUGGCGCAUACAAAGAGAAGCGACCUCGCGAGAGCAAGCGGACCUCAUAAAGUGCGUCGUAGUCCGGAUUGGAGUCUGCAACUCGACUCCAUGAAGUCGGAAUCGCUAGUAAUCGUAAAUCAGAAUGUUACGGUGAAUACGUUCCCGGGCCUUGUACACACCGCCCGUCACACCAUGGGAGUGGGUUGCAAAAGAAGUAGAUAGCUUAACCUUCGGGAGGGCGUUUACCACUUUGUGAUUCAUGACUGGGGUGAAGUCGUAACAAGGUAAGCGUAGUGCU
rnacentral:rRNA from 1 species